GUCGAGGGGCAGCACGGGUAGCAAUACCUGGUGGCGACCGGCGCAAGGGUGCGUAACGCGUGAGCAACAUGCCCUAUACAGGGGGAUAAUCCAGGGAAACUUGGUCUAAUAUCCCAUAGUAUUUAGAGGAGGCAUCUUCUAUAAAUUAAAGCUUCGGUGGUAUAGGAUUGGCUCGCGUGACAUUAGCUAGAUGGUGAGGUAACGGCUCACCAUGGCAAUGAUGUCUAGGGGUUCUGAGAGGAAGGCCCCCCACACUGGGACUGAGACACGGCCCAGACUCCUACGGGAGGCAGCAGUGAGGAAUAUUGGACAAUGGAUGGAAAUCUGAUCCAGCCAUGCCGCGUGCAGGAAGACAGCCCUAUGGGUUGUAAACUGCUUUUAUAUGGGAGCAAUAAGGUCUACGUGUAGACUGAUGAGAGUACCAUAUGAAUAAGCAUCGGCUAACUCCGUGCCAGCAGCCGCGGUAAUACGGAGGAUGCGAGCGUUAUCCGGAUUUAUUGGGUUUAAAGGGUGCGUAGGCGGCCGAGUAAGUCAGCGGUGAAAUUUUGCAGCUUAACUGUAACAGUGCCGUUGAUACUGCAUGGCUAGGAUUUGGUUGCUGUGGGUGGAAUGUGUGGUGUAGCGGUGAAAUGCUUAGAUAUCACACAGAAUAUCGAUUGCGAA
rnacentral:rRNA from 1 species